rnacentral:rRNA from 1 species
UACAGAGGUCUCAAGCGUUGUUCGGAUUCAUUGGGCGUAAAGGGCGCGUAGGCGGCGAGGUAAGUCUGGUGUGAAAUCUAGGAGCUCAACUCCUAAACUGCACUGGAUACUGCCGUGCUUGAGGACUGGAGAGGAGACUGGAAUUUACGGUGUAGCGGUGAAAUGCGUAGAUAUCGUAAGGAAGACCAGUGGCGAAGGCGGGUCUCUGGACAGUUCCUGACGCUGAGGCACGAAGGUCAGGGGAGCAAACGGG